rnacentral:rRNA from 1 species
GACGAACGCUGGCGGCGUGCUUAACACAUGCAAGUCGAACGGUAAGGCCCUUCGGGGUACACGAGUGGCGAACGGGUGAGUAACACGUGGGUGAUCUGCCCUGCACUUCGGGAUAAGCCUGGGAAACUGGGUCUAAUACCGGAUAGGACCACUGCCUGCAUGGGUGGUGGUGGAAAGCUUUUGCGGUGUGGGAUGGGCCCGCGGCCUAUCAGCUUGUUGGUGGGGUGAUGGCCUACCAAGGCGACGACGGGUAGCCGGCCUGAGAGGGUGACCGGCCACACUGGGACCGCGAUACGGCCCAGACUCCUACGGGAGGCAGCGAUGGGGAAGAUUGCACAAUGGGCGCAAGGCUGAUGCAGCGCCGCCGCGUGAGGGAUGACGGCCUUCGGGUUGUAAACCUCUUUCAGCACCGACGAAGCGCAAGUGACGGUAGGUGCAGAAGAAGGACCGGCCAACUACGUGCCAGCCGCCGCGGUAA